GCCGUAAUAGAUUUUGUACCGUCCUCGUGGAUCUAUUUGGUUAAUGUUGAUCGAAAGAGAUCUGAAUCCCGAUCUCACUGAAGCGCAACUCUGAAGACGAUCGACGUGACUUUACCAAGUAACUCUUUCGUACUAAUUCCUCGAGUAACGAAAAUCAUGGGUUUAUAUACCCCUAGAUAUUGGUGGGGAUACGUCAGUGAUUCCCAUAUAUGGAAAUUUGGCGGUUGAGAUUUUUGUUACUCAGAGGUGAACAUCUGUGGGGCUUUAGAGAAAGUUUAGAUAAAGGGUUACUCACGCAACGCGAGUUAAAAGAUGAUUCUGAGAAAAGUAUGGUACAGCUGGAGAGUGCACUUCGGUAAGACCAGACUCCACAUUCCAAGGGGUAGAUAAAAUAAAUGAACGCGAGCUUCGAAAAGAACGGGUGUGCAUACGUAAUAGAAUAAUCAGUUAGAAGUAUUACAAGUAACGGUUCCUUCGAUCGUAAAGGAAAUUUCGGAGGCAUCGACAAGUCUUCGAGGACCCCCAAACGCAGGCAUACCCCCCACCCGCGCUUCAAGGGGGCUGGCCAAAGGGGACCUGGAGGUGUCGUCGCGAACGCCGACAGGAUCGUACGUCACUUCAGUUGAAAACGUCGAAACAUGAAGAAUUUAAAAACGAAGUGACAUUGAAUAUUUAAGAAUGAGCAGCCUGGAGGAAGUUACAUACGGGAUUGACAGGUUGUCCUUCUGGGACAACUACACGAGACAUGAAUAAUAUGGGGUAACAUUUUUAAUGGCAUCCUUCGGUAUGCCGCAGCC